GAUAAAUUUGAAGUUCGAAAUGGGCUGCCAGAGUAUAAGUUGCAAGGCUUUGUGAUAAGCACUAUGCAAAGACUUUUUAGAUCAUGGAAAGCUCAACUACAAGUUAUCUAUUCUAGCUAUGACAAUGAUAAAGAUUGAUUAUCUCAUCGACCUAAGGAUGUUGAGUUGGAUGACUUGAAGCACCUAGUGGAAUAUCUUGGCAGUGAUGAAUUCAAGGUCGUCAGCAAGAGAAAUAAAAGAAAUAGAGAAAAACAAAUAACCAAACAUUCGUGUGGUACAAGAUCAUUUGCAGAAGUAGAGGAAUCUAUGAGAAAUCCUCUUACAGGAGUAAAGGAGACACAGAUAAAAUAUGGAAGAUCCAACAUACACAUAACAUUGUUAAUGGAGAACGUGUAUGGUUGGAUCCUUAAUCCAAAGAUAUUCAUGGACAGCUUCAUCAACUUAUCGUUGAACAACAGUCAGAAGAUAUCGAGAAUCCCAUGACUAGCGAUGAGAUUUUAUCUUUGGUUCUUGGGGUAAGAUCAGGAUAUGUUCAGGGAAAAGGGCAUGGGAAGAAGCCUCCUAAAAAGAGUCAAAUGCAGCAAGCCAAACAUAGAGGCCAGUGUUUCUUCGGCGGUAGAAAGUAUUCAUCAAGAGAUGCAACUUGACAUGGAAAGAAAGUUGCAAGAAGAGCGUGAACAAAUGAUAGUCGACUUGAAAAGAGAUAUGGAUCAGGAUUUGCAAAAGAAAUUGGAAGAGGAACGUGAACACAUGAAAGGAGAAGUAGAAACAGGUGUUUUCUAGUCCUGUGUUAUGUAUCUAUCCGAACAGAUUGUGACAUAUUUACCUAUUAUAGCUACUGACUUAUAACGUAAGUAGUUCAGAUGCAUAGAUGAGAGAUGCAUGUAACAUAAAAUAGUUUCACUAUAAUCUACCCAUCAAAGCUAGAGAACGAUAUUCCCCACUACCUAUCUGAAAUUGUAUGGCAUUACUUGUACUAAUUAGAAUUGCUGGACAUAAUCUCGACAAUUGAAACAUUAUAUUAUCACGGAAUUUAAAGAU